CACACACUUCCUUAGAUCCACUCCUGGAGUAUCCACAGUGACAAUCGCCGCAUCACAACACAUGUGCGUCCUAGUGGCUCAUCAUGUGGUUGUGUGUCCGUGUGUGCGUCCGAGAUACUUGACAGCCUUAUGCUGCACAUUGGGAGUGCAUGAGUCAUGGGUGUGUAAGAUCAAUCUCCCUCUUGCUCCGCCCUCAGUGCUCUGGACUGUCAAUCAUUACCAUAGUAACCUAUGGUGUGACUGGACACC
rfam:Nematostella vectensis strain CH2 x CH6 NEMVEscaffold_486_Cont28481, whole genome shotgun sequence.